GAGGGUGUUGAUCAGCAGAUCAGGACUGUAACUCACCAUAGUGGUGGACUGCCCUGAUCUGGAGACCACUGCCUU
ensembl:miRNA MIR1288 microRNA 1288